rnacentral:rRNA from 1 species
AUUGAACGCUGGCGGCAUGCUUUACACAUGCAAGUCGAACGGUAACAGGCCGCAAGGUGCUGACGAGUGGCGAACGGGUGAGUAAUGCAUCGGAACGUGCCCAGUCGUGGGGGAUAACGCAGCGAAAGCUGUGCUAAUACCGCAUACGAUCUAUGGAUGAAAGCGGGGGACCGUAAGGCCUCGCGCGAUUGGAGCGGCCGAUGUCAGAUUAGGUAGUUGGUGGGGUAAAGGCUCACCAAGCCAACGAUCUGUAGCUGGUCUGAGAGGACGACCAGCCACACUGGGACUGAGACACGGCCCAGACUCCUACGGGAGGCAGCAGUGGGGAAUUGUGGACAAUGGGCGCAAGCCUGAUCCAGCAAUGCCGCGUGCAGGAAGAAGGCCUUCGGGUUGUAAACUGCUUUUGUACGGAACGAAACGGUCUGGGUUAAUACCCUGGGCUAAUGACGGUACCGUAAGAAUAAGCACCGGCUAACUACGUGCCAGCAGCCGCCGCCGUAA